rnacentral:tmRNA from 1 species
GGGGGCGACUGGUUUCGACACGAUAUGUCUGAGGGGAGAAGCAGGUCGAGGUCUCCUCACCUCGCUAAACAGGGGUACCCGACGCCAAGCGUCGACAACGAUCUCGCACUCGCUGCCUAAGAGCAGCGACGCCGACCCGGUGCGCGUCCCCGUCACCGGCAAGGCGCCAUUUCAGGGGACUGCCACGAACGGACGCGGGCGGCAUGCCGUCGUGAAAGAUCGGACCGCCAUGGUUACGGCGCAGCGGGUCACCGGUCAGCGCCGUCGCCGAGACUCAACCGGUGACUGAGCCUGGAGAUGCUCCCCAGGGGUAUGUCGUGGACGAGAGUUCGAUUCUCUCCGCCUCCACCA